CCACGUGGUCGAAGGAAAGCUUAAAAGGAGAGCACUCGCAGUGCUCCAGCCUUUUCCUGCACCGGUCGGCCUGCGUGGUCACGGCCGGACUGGACCACGUGGAUGGUGCGUGCUCCGGUCCGGCCGUGGCCUCGCUUUGCUCUUCGCCACAUUGUGAAGACUGGGCCGGCUAACGUUCAUUUCCGUUUCCUACACCAACAAGGGGACCACGUGGUCGAAAGAAAGCAUAAACGGAGAGCACUCGCAGUGCCCCACCGUUUUCCUGCACCGGUCGGCCUGCCUGGUCACGGCCGGGCUGGACUACGCGCAUGGUACGUGCUCCAGUCCGGCCGUGGCCGGGCUUUUCACUUCACCACAUUGUGAAGACUGGGCCGGCUAACGCUCUUUUCCGUUUCCUACGCGCACAAGGGGACCACGUGGUCGAAAGAAAGCAUAAAAGGAGAGCACUCGCUCUGCAUCACCCUUUUCCUGCACCGGUCGGCCUGCCCGGUCACGGCCGGACUGGACUACGUCCAUGACGCGUGCUCCGGUCCUGCCGCGGCCUGGCUUUUCACUUCGCCACGCUGUGAAGACUGGGCCGGCUAACGUUGUUUUCUGUUUCCUACGCGCACAAGCAUCUGAGCAACGGACAUACCCGUAUGCUCUACCCCUGGAGUGCACAUGGACACGGCGAUCACCGGGACCUUCUUUCAUAGGCGCCUCCAUCCAAGCGAAGGCAGCUAGACCUCUCUCAAGCACCGAGAUUGCCGAAUGGGGGAACAUUGGAUCACCGACUCUACGCCGCCUGAUGCUGCCUUCGAUGGUCUACAGUGGGCUUUGUCCAAGUGCUUCUGGCCUACGCUCUCGACUACUUACCAUGAAACAACCGUUUUUUUCUUUUUUUUUUUUGAGGCCUGCGAAGCGAUAACUGCGAGCUAAACUAGUGUGGACUUCAUAUUUCUCCAGGGGGACGAAGAAUG